CUUUUCUUGUUAGUUUUUGAAGUAUGGUCUGCCCGCUGACUUUAGGUUGAAGGGCCGCGGUAUUUUGACCGUGCAAAGGUAGCAUAAUCAUUAGUUCUUUAAUUGUGAUCUGGUAUGAAUGGCUUGACGAGGCAUGGUCUGUCUUGAAUUGGGAUUUGUUUAAUUGAAUUUGGUUUUUGAGUUAAAAUUCUUAAAUGUUUUUAUGGGACGAGAAGACCCUAUAGAGUUUGACAUUCGAUGUUUGGCUUGAUUUGGUUUGUUUGAGUUUAUGCUUUGUUUCGUUUGUUUUGUUGGGGUGAUGGGAGGAAUUUUCUUAACUCCUCUUUAUUUUUGGUAUAUUUAUUUGUAUAUGUUUUGAUCCAUUUAUUUUGAUUAUAAGAUUAAAUUACCUUAGGGAUAACAGCGUUAUCCUCCUUGAGAGUUCUUAUUGGCGGGAGGGUUUGCGACCUCGAUGUUGGAUUAAGAUAAAUUUUUGGUGUAGGAGCUGAAUUGAUUGGGUCUGUUCGACCUUUAAAAUCUU
rnacentral:rRNA from 1 species